rnacentral:rRNA from 1 species
GAUGAACGCUGGCGGCGUGCCUAAUACAUGCAAGUCGAGCGAACGGACGAGAAGCUUGCUUUUCUGAUGUUAGAGGCGGACGGGUGAGUAACACGUGGAUAACCUACCUAUAAGACUGGGAUAACUUCGGGAAACCGGAGCUAAUACCGGAUAAUAUUUUGAACCGCAUGGUUCAAAAGUGAAAGACGGUCUUGCUGUCACUUAUAGAUGGAUCCGCGCUGCAUUAGCUAGUUGGUAAGGUAACGGCUUACCAAGGCAACGAUGCAUAGCCGACCUGAGAGGGUGAUCGCCCACACUGGAACUGAGACGCGGUCCAGACUCCUACGGGAGGCAGCAGUAGGGAAUCUGCCGCAAUGGGCGAAAGCCUGACGGAGCAACGCCGCGUGAGUGAUGAAGGUCUUCGGAUCGUAAAACUCUGUUAUUAGGGAAGAACAUAUGUGUAAGUAACUGUGCACAUCUUGACGGUACCUAAUCAGAAAGCCACGGCUAACUACGUG